rnacentral:lncRNA from 12 species
CAGCGAGGCUGUGCCCUGGGUCCCAGCGAAACCAGCAUCCCUGGGAGACCCACUCCACACCCCACAGCCCCCUCCGCGCUUGGGUUUGGAGCCAGCAAGCCCAAGGCCGUCUGUCUGGCUCUUCCCCCUCCUCCCCCAGCAACUGAGCUCGCUGUGGAACCUUAUCAAGUGUUUCCUGCCCCGCACCAGGAAGUUCAGAGCCAAAUACAUUUCUAUUAACUACACGGGAUAUUCCAGUUCUGAAAGAUGAGAAGCAAAAUACCCUACACUGUAGUGGUGUUGAGACAAGGCUUUCUUAUGCUCCUGGAGGCUGUGGGUCAGUGAUCCAGACCGCGCACAGCAGGGCCACCGACCUGAACUUCUAUGUCAAGAGCCGGGAGGGCGCACAAUGGCCUGCAGGCUCUUCGUUCACGUGCCUGGGGGUAGUGCUGGCAGGCUGGGGCCUCAGCUUCCCUCCACGUGGGCCUCUCCUUGUGGCCUCCCCGAGCGCUAGUUCGAGCGUCCUCACACCAUGGCACAGCUGGGUCCCAAGGGUGAGCGUCCCAAUGUGGGGACCAGUGAGGCAGAAGUGAUGUAUCCCUGUUGAUGACCUCACCUUGGGAGGCUUUCCGACCUGGAAGGUCACUCUCUGUGCCCCGCUCUUGACCUGGCCUGAUUUUAACUCAUCCCUUCAUGCUAGGGAGCAUCACCCCGCCACAGUCGGGGGAAUUUGCCAGGAAUAAGCCACCAGGUCCGGUUCAUAAUCAAGGGGAAAAAUGAGACUGCAUCUCUUGAUGGGAGAGGUCGUCAUGGUUCUAGAAGACAACAAAGGAUAAAAUGAUUACUGUGGCCACUUGGGGAAAAAUAUAGUCAGUCACAUGGGACCAAAUAGAGUCCGUUGAUUUGUGCUCACGAGGCUCAGCUUUAUCACCAUAGUAAUUGACAUCUGUGAAUUGAGUGUAUUUUGCAGCCGGAGGUUCUUUAUGGAACCAGUAGGAAGACAGGAGCUUAAUCAGCGCUGUUUUCUGAGUGGUGGACGGAGUUCCCCAGAUCUGGCUUGACGGACAAGUGGAGGACGCCGAGCUCCGACCCCGUGGCCAAGUCAGCCCUGCCCCAGCUAGAGUCCCCCUUGCACCUUCAACCUUGUCCUGGAGCUUCACUCAGCACCAGGCUCCUCAACUUGAUAUUAUAACACGAAGGCCGUGCAAGAGUUAGGCCUUCCUUCCCCAAAUAUCUCCUCCAACCUCGGGGUGUUCUUAUGCACAACUUUCUCUGAGAAAUAAGAGAGUAUUCAUUGACCUCUGCAUAUAUAUCAAGAUUAACAUUCUCUCCAACUUAGAUCAGUCAGCCUGUGGGGAGUUGGGGAAUUUGGCAGAGAGUCUCUGAGCACCCACUUCCUGUCAGGCCCUGAGCUAACUUUCAGGAAUCCAGACAUAAGACAUUUAAGUCACACUGGACCGAGAUGCAUUUGGAGGUAGGGACUGUGCCAUUUUGGCUUUGUCAUUUGGGCACACGGCGGGGACCUAGCAUCAUGAAAGGAGAAGGUGGAAGUGUCUGUCUAUCCAGCAAUGAGGCCAUGGAUGAGAGACCAUC